GGGUCGAUAGCUCAACGGUAGAGCAGCAGCCUUUUAAGCUGUUGGUUCUGGGUUCGAAUCCCAGUCGACCCA
rnacentral:tRNA from 1 species